rnacentral:rRNA from 1 species
UACGUGAGGCAGCAAGCGUUGUUCGGAGUUACUGGGCGUAAAGCGUGCGCAGGCGGUUGUGCAAGACCCGAUGUGAAAAUCCCCGGAGCUUAACUUGGGAAUUGCAUUGGUGACUGCACGGCUAGAGUGUGUCAGAGGGGGGUAGAAUUCCACGUGUAGCAGUGAAAUGCGUAGAGAUGUGGAGGAACACCGAUGGCGAAGGCAGCCCCCCUGGGUCAAAAACUGACGCUCGAUGCACGAAAGCGUGGGGAGCAAACAGG